rnacentral:rRNA from 1 species
UACGGGGGGAGCAAGCGUUGUUCGGAUUUACUGGGCUUAAAGGGUGCGUAGGCGGCGUAGAAAGUUGGGUGUGAAAUCCCUCAGCUUAACUGAGGAAGGGCGCCCAAAACUACUAUGCUCGAGGGAGAUAGAGGAGUGCGGAACUUAGGGUGGAGCGGUGAAAUGCGUUGAUAUCCUAGGGAACACCGGUGGCGAAAGCGGCACUCUGGAUCUCUUCUGACGCUGAGGCACGAAAGCUAGGGUAGCAAACGGG